rnacentral:rRNA from 1 species
UGGCGGACGGGUGAGUAACGCGUGGAAAACCUGCCGUAUACUGGGGGAUAACACUUAGAAAUAGGUGCUAAUACCGCAUAAGCGCACAGCUUCGCAUGAAGUGGUGUGAAAAACUCUGGUGGUAUACGAUGGUUCCGCGUCUGAUUAGCUUGUUGGCGGGGUAAUGGCUCACCAAGGCGACGAUCAGUAGGGGUUCUGAGAGGAAGGUCCCCCACAUUGGAACUGAGACACGGUCCAAACUCCUACGGAAGGCAGCAG